rnacentral:rRNA from 1 species
AACGAACGCUGGCGGCAUGCCUAACACAUGCAAGUCGAACGAGACCUUCGGGUCUAGUGGCGCACGGGUGCGUAACGCGUGGGAACCUGCCCUUAGGUUCGGAAUAACUCCCCGAAAGGGGUGCUAAUACCGGAUAAUGUCUUCGGACCAAAGAUUUAUCGCCUUUGGAUGGGCCCGCGUUGGAUUAGCUAGUUGGUAGGGUAAAAGCCUACCAAGGCGACGAUCCAUAGCUGGUCUGAGAGGAUGAUCAGCCACACUGGGACUGAGACACGGCCCAGACCCCUAGGGGGGCAGGAAGGGGGGAAUAUGGGAAAAGGGGGAAAGCCCUGACCCAGCAUGGCGGGGGGAGUGAUGAGGGCUUUGGGGUUGAAAAGCUUUUUUCCCCGGGAUGAAAAUGAAAGUACGGGGAGAAAAAGCCCCGGCUACCCCCGU